rnacentral:rRNA from 1 species
CCUACGGGUGGCUGCAGUGGGGAAUAUUGGGCAAUGGGCGCAAGCCUGACGCAGCAACGCCGCGUGAAGGAAGAAGGCUUUCGGGUUGUAAACUUCUUUUCUCAGGGACGAAGGAAGUGACGGUACCUGAGGAAUAAGCCACGGCUAACUACGUGCCAGCAGCCGCGGUAAUACGUAGGUGGCAAGCGUUAUCCGGAUUUACUGGGGGUAAAGGGUGAGUAGGCGGGAAGGCAAGCCAGAUGUGAAAACCAUGGGCUCAACCUGUGGCCUGCAUUUGAAACUGUUUUGCUUGAGUACUGGAGAGGCAGACGGAAUUCCUGGUGUAGCGGUGAAAUGCGUAGAUAUGAGGAGGAACACCAGUGGCGAAGGCGGUUUUCUGGACAGCAACUGACGCUGAGGCGCGAAAGCGUAGGGAGCAAACAGGAUUAGAUACCCCGGUAGUC